rnacentral:lncRNA from 1 species
CUCCCUUUUGACCUUCGGAGUUGAGACCGGGAUCUUGCGGGGAGCGCUGGGGGCCGAUGAUCCCUCCGCCCGUGAGGAUCUGCCCCAGCCCUCCGCAUGACAGCUACCACCUUUGCAUCGUUGAAUGCCCGGGGCUGUAGGGUGGGUCUCCGUAGGAGCCAGGUGCUCUCCUUCCUUCGGGAGGGGGGGUACUCUGUGAUUUUCCUGCAGGAGACCCACACGGCUCCGGCCGUCGAGGCUAGCUGGUGGCUGGAGUGGGGAGACGGGGUUUAUUUUAGCCACCUCAGCGCCCAUUCGGCUGGGGUGGCCACCCUGUUCUCCCCGGGGCUGCGGCCUGAGGUGCUGGGGGUCGCCGAGGUUGUGCCGGGCCGCCUGCUGCACGUCCGGGCCCGUGUGGAGGGGCUGGUUCUGAACUUGGUCAACGUCUAUGCCCCGAACACGGGCCCGGAACGAGUGCCUUUCUAUCAGCGGGCGGCGGCCUUCCUCGGCACUCUGGAUUCUCGCGAGUGCCUGGUCCUUGGCGGGGACUUAAACACCACCCUCGAGGACCGGGACCGCUCCGGGCUUGAGACUUCCCAGGCAGCCGCGGGCGUCCUCAGGGAGAUCAUAGACCAUCACUCCCUGGUGGACGUCUGGCGCGAACACCACCCGGACGACGACACCACCUUCACCUAUGUCCGGGUGGAGGACGACCGGUCGCACCACUCCCGGUUGGACCGAAUCUACCUGUCCCGUUUUCAUCUGGUGCGGGCUGAUGCCUCCAGCGUCCGGCCGGCCCCGUUCUCGGAUCACCAUCUGGUGACCGUGACGGCCUCUCUCAGUUCUGAGCGGCCGGGGCCGGCCUAUUGGCAUUUUAAUAAUAGUUUGCUGGAGGACGUGGGCUUCGUGGCGUCCUUCCGGGAGUUCUGGCUGGCCUGGCGGGGGCAGCAGCGCGCCUUUCCCUCGGCGCGGCGGUGGUGGGACGUGGGGAAGGUCCGUGCGCGGCUCUUCUGCCGGAACUACGCCCGGGGCGCCAGCCGGCGGCGGGAUGCGUUGAUAGGGCAGUUGGAGCGGGAGGUCUUGG